rnacentral:rRNA from 1 species
UACGUAGGGGGCUAGCGUUGUCCGGAAUCAUUGGGCGUAAAGCGCGUGUAGGCGGUUCGGUAAGUCCGCUGUGAAAGUCGAGGGCUCAACCCUCGAAAGCCGGUGGAUACUGUCGGGCUAGAGUGCGGAAGAGGCGAGUGGAAUUCCUGGUGUAGCGGUGAAAUGCGCAGAUAUCAGGAGGAACACCGGUGGCGAAGGCGGCGUUCUGGACUGCAACUGACACUGAGGAACGAAAGCCAGGGGAGCAAACGGG